GAUGAACGCUGGCGGCGUGCCUAAUACAUGCAAGUCGAGCGAACGGACGAGAAGCUUGCUUCUCUGAUGUUAGCGGCGGACGGGUGAGUAACACGUGGAUAACCUACCUAUAAGACUGGGAUAACUUCGGGAAACCGGAGCUAAUACCGGAUAAUAUUUUGAACCGCAUGGUUCAAAAGUGAAAGACGGUCUUGCUGUCACUUAUAGAUGGAUCCGCGCUGCAUUAGCUAGUUGGUAAGGUAACGGCUUACCAAGGCAACGAUGCAUAGCCGACCUGAGAGGGUGAUCGGCCACACUGGAACUGAGACACGGUCCAGACUCCUACGGGAGGCAGCAGUAGGGAAUCUUCCGCAAUGGGCGAAAGCCUGACGGAGCAACGCCGCGUGAGUGAUGAGGGUCUUCGGAUCGUAAAAACUCUGUUAUUAGGGAA
rnacentral:rRNA from 1 species